AUGAACUCGCGGUGGUGCCCUCUGUUUGGUGCCUCCGGUGGUCUGUUCAUGGCUUGGGACUCGUCUGCAGUAUCUGGACAGGUCGUCGCCACUCAUCAAUACCACAUCACAGUGCGGUUUUCUUCAACUGCCACCAAUUCGGUUUUCUUGAUCUCCGUUGUCUACGCCCCCUGUGUUGCCCGUGACAGGCCACUCUUCUUUGAGGCUGUCGACAGUGCAAUUGGUCAGGUUUCUGAACCCUGGAUGAUUGUUGGUGAUUUCAACAUGUACCGCUCAGAAGAUGAAAAAUCGCGGGGCCAAGUGAACUGGGCUAUGAUGGAGAUGUUCAAUGACUUGAUCAGAGAAAAUGGCCUAGAUGACAUCAAUAUCUGCGAUCGUCGUUUCACUUGGUCGAAUAAAAGGGAAGUACCGACCCUGGUACGGCUCGAUCGGGUCUUGAUUAAUGCUCAUUGGUCACUGGCUUUUGCUCAGACGAAUGCUUCAGUUAUUCCCUCUGUCACAUCAGACCAUGUACCGAUUCUAGUUCAGUUCUGCAAUGACAAAGCCAAGAGCAGAUUCUUCAGGAUGGAAAACCAUUGGCUCGUGAUGGAGGAAACUGAAUCGCUCAUCACCAGUUGCUGGAAUAAGGGCACAAGACCCCUACUUUCUGCUGCCUCUCUAUUCAAUUUCAAGAUGAGACGUGUCUGUGUUGCCUUAAGAAGAUGGAAGCGAAACAGGGCCAGCCUGGAGCUGCUUAUUUCCAAUAAUAAACUCGCAGUGGAUUACCUUAAUUCUGUUGAAGAGCACCGCCCGCUGUCCUGUUUGGAAUUUGUUCUCAGAGUCUUUGAUAGCUCUAAGGCAGAGCAGUUAAUUUUGUGGCAAGCUGCUAUGUGGCGCCGGCGGGCUUCGUUGGUGCGACUUCGGGGACGAGAACAGUAG
rnacentral:rRNA from 1 species